CCCCUCUCAGGAUGGCACCUAGAGAGUUUCCAGUACUCUACCAGUCUCUGCUAUGGGAAGGAAAGUCAAGCAGAGGCAUAUCCAUUUCAUUCCUAGCUGAGGCAGUGACUAGCGAGUGGAAGGCAAUCUGCUACAGGU
rnacentral:snoRNA from 1 species